UACGAAGGGGGCUAGCGUUGUUCGGAAUUAUUGGGCGUAAAGCGCGCGUAGGCGGUUUGAUAAGCCGGGUGUGAAACCUCCAAGCUCAACUUGGAGCGGCCACUCGGAACUGUCAUGACUUGAGUCAGGUAGGGGAACACGGAAUUCCAGGUGUAGCGGUGAAAUGCUUAGAUAUCUGGAGGAACACCAGUGGCGAAGGCGGUGUUCUGGGCCUGUACUGACGCUGAUGCGCGAAAGCGUGGGGAGCGAACAGG
rnacentral:rRNA from 1 species